rnacentral:misc_RNA from 1 species
GAUGAAGAACGCAGUGAAAUGCGAUAAGUGAUGUGAAUUGCAGAAUUCAGUGAAUCAUCGAAUCUUUGAACGCACAUUGCGCCCAUUAGUAUUCUAGUGGGCAUGCCUGUUCGAGCGUCAUUAAUUCCACUUAAGCCCUGCUUAGUGUUGGGAAUCUACUCUAGUGGUGCUACCCUGGAGCUACCCCUGAAAGGGGGCUGGCCCGGUAGCUACCCUGUAGUUCCUUAAAGAUAGUGCGCGGAGUUGCGUGGUCCUCUGAGCUUAGUAACUAUACACCUAGCUUUUGAGUGUCCCGCGGCGCCUGCCGUUUAAACCCCAUCUUUUAAUGGUUGACCUCGGAUCAGGUAGGAAUACCCGCUGAACUUAAGCAUAUCAAUAAGCGGAGGA